rnacentral:rRNA from 1 species
AUACGGAGGGAGCUAGCGUUGUUCGGAAUUACUGGGCGUAAAGCGCACGUAGGCGGCUUUUUAAGUCAGGGGUGAAAUCCCGGGGCUCAACCCCGGAACUGCCCUUGAAACUGGGAAGCUAGAAUCUUGGAGAGGCGAGUGGAAUUCCGAGUGUAGAGGUGAAAUUCGUAGAUAUUCGGAAGAACACCAGUGGCGAAGGCGACUCGCUGGACAAGUAUUGACGCUGAGGUGCGAAAGCGUGGGGAGC